rnacentral:rRNA from 1 species
GACGAACGCUGGCGGCACGCUUAACACAUGCAAGUCGAACGAGAGAAGAGAAGCUUGCUUUUCUGAUCUAGUGGCGGACGGGUGAGUAACACGUGAGCAAUCUGCCUUUCAGAGGGGGAUACCGAUUGGAAACGAUCGUUAAUACCGCAUAAUAUAAUUGAACCGCAUGAUUUGAUUAUCAAAGAUUUAUCGCUGAAAGAUGAGCUCGCGUCUGAUUAGCUAGUUGGUAAGGUAACGGCUUACCAAGGCGACGAUCAGUAGCCGGACUGAGAGGUUGAUCGGCCACAUUGGGACUGAGACACGGCCCAGACUCCUACGGGAGGCGGCAGUGGGGAAUAUUGCACAAUGGAGGAAACUCUGAUGCAGCGAUGCCGCGUGAGGGAAGAAGGUUUUAGGAUUGUAAACCUCUGUCUUCAGGGACGAAAAAAGACGGUACCUGAGGAGGAAGCUCCGGCUAACUACGUGCCAGCAGCCGCGGUAAUACGUAGGGAGCGAGCGUUGUCCGGAAUUACUGGGUGUAAAGGGAGCGUAGGCGGGAUCGCAAGUCAGAUGUGAAAACUAUGGGCUUAACCCAUAAACUGCAUUUGAAACUGUGGUUCUUGAGUGAAGUAGAGGUAAGCGGAAUUCCUAGUGUAGCGGUGAAAUGCGUAGAUAUUAGGAGGAACAUCAGUGGCGAAGGCGGCUUACUGGGCUUUAACUGACGCUGAGGCUCGAAAGCGUGGGGAGCAAACAGGAUUAGAUACCCUGGUAGUCCACGCCGUAAACGAUGAUUUAUUAGGGGGGGGGGGAGUGACCCCCUCCGUGCCGCAGCAAACGCAAUAAUUAAUCCACCUGGGGAGGGGGACCGCAAGGGUGAAUCUCAAAGGAAUUGUCGGGGGCCCGCCCCCGCAGUGGAGUAUGUGGAUUAAUUUGAAGCAACGCGAAGAACCUUCCCAGGUCUUGACAUCGUAUGCAUAGCUCAGAGAUGAGGGAAAUCUUUUUGGAGACAUAUAGACAGGUGGUGCAUGGUUGUUGUCAGCAAAAAUCGUGAGAUGUUGGGUUAAGUGGCGCAAAAAGCGCAACCCCUCCUGUUAGUUGUUACGCAAGAGCACUCUAGCAGGACUGCCGUUGACAAAACGGAGGAAGGGGGGGAGGACGUCAAAUCAUCAUGCCCCUUAUGAGAAGGGCGUCACACGUACUACAAUGGCUGUCAACAGAGGGAAGCAAAGCCGCGAGGGGGAGCGAACCCCUAAAAACAGUCUUUUUU